rnacentral:lncRNA from 1 species
AUAACCUUGAAGCAGUCUCACCAAGAGGGCUUCUAGUAUAAAUGGGAGGACAGGAGAAUGGCCAACUAGUUGAAUUCAGAGAGUAGAGAGAGAAGACUAGUCUCAGGCCACUGAUUCUGCAGUGUUUGAUAAGUGGUAAGAACCCAUUAGAGUUGGUUACCAUUACAGCUAUAAUAGGAAAAUACAGGAAUAAUGCAAGCAUAUUAUAUUUUG